UGCGAGUCAUUGUAGUAAUACAAGGCAGACGGCUCAGUAACGCGUAGUCAACCUACCCUAUGGACGGGAAUAACCUCGGGAAACUGAGUAUAAUGCCCGAUAGAACACUAUACCUGGAAUGGUUUGUGUUCCAAAUGAAUGUCGCCGUAGGAUGGGACUGCGGCCUAUCAGUUUGUUGGUGAGGUAAUGGCCCACCAAGACUAUUACAGGUACGGGCUCUGAGAGGAGUAGCCCGGAGAUGGGUACUGAGACACGGACCCAGGCCCUAUGGGGCGCAGCAGGCGAGAAAACUUUGCAAUGUGCGAAAGCACGACAAGGUUAAUCCGAGUGGUUUGUGCUAAACGAACCUUUUGACAGUCCUAGAAACACUGUUGAAUAAGGGGUGGGCAAGUUCUGGUGUCAGCCGCCGCGGUAAAACCAGCACCUCAAGUGGUCAGGAUGAUUAUUGGGCCUAAAGCAUCCGUAGCCGGCUCUGUAAGUUUUCGGUUAAAUCUGUACGCUCAACGUACAGGCUGCCGGGAAUACUGCAGAGCUAGGGAGUGGGAGAGGUAGACGGUACUCGGUAGGAAGGGGUAAAAUCCUUUGAUCUAUUGAUGACCACCUGUGCGAAGGCGGUCUACCAGAACACGUCCGACGGUGAGGGAUGAAAGCUGGGGGAGCAAACCGGAUUAGAUACCCGGGUAGUCCCAGCUGUAAACUAUGCAAACUCAGUGAUGCAUUGGCUUGUGGCCAAUGCAGUGCUGCAGGGAAGCCGUUAAGUUUGCCGCCUGGGAAGUACGUACGCAAGUAUGAAACUUAAAGGA
rnacentral:rRNA from 1 species